rnacentral:rRNA from 1 species
GACGAACGCUGGCGGCGUGCCUAACACAUGCAAGUCGAGCGGAGUCGAUCGACGGAAGCCUUCGGGCGGAAGAUGGUUGACUUAGCGGCGGAUGGGUGAGUAACGCGUGGGCAACCUGCCUCGAAGACCGGGAUAACAGCCCGAAAGGGCUGCUAAUACCGGAUGUGGUCAAAGAUCCGCAUGGAUUUUUGAUUAAAGGGGAAACCCGUUUCGAGAUGGGCCCGCGUCCUAUCAGCUAGUUGGUGAGGUAAAAGCUCACCAAGGCGACGACGGGUAGCCGGCCUGAGAGGGUGACCGGCCACACUGGAACUGAGACACGGUCCAGACUCCUACGGGGGCAGCAGUGGGGAAUCUUCCACAAUGGGCGAAAGCCUGAUGGAGCGACGCCGCGUGAGCGAAGAAGGCCUCGGUUGUAAAGCUCUGUCUGGAGGGACGGAAGGAAGUGACGGUACCUCCGGAGGAAGCCACGGCUAACUACGUGCCAGCAGCCGCGGUAAGAGUAGUACA